GGAGCUGCUAUCGGAGAGUCUUGCAUUCUGGGCCCAGCCACAUCCCUGUUCUUGGUAAAUAUGCAGAAACUGAGGCCCAGGACCACACACUGACACCAAGUGGACUAGGAUUCAGGCCAUUGACCAUAUUCUUUCAACUUCAGGAGCAACAGUACCUGGAGGACCCAAAUUUGCUGUCAUCCUCCAUGAGGCCUCAGCAGUCUCCAACAUGGAAGGGCACUGAUCCAGCCUGGGGGUUUCCAGGGACCUUUCUGACUGAACACUGGAAAGACCCUUUCAUUCCGUCCUGUCCCCCAGGUGGGACCCCACGCCCUGAGGUGGAACAGAGGUGAAGAGGAAGGGGAGCGGCUCCUGUGCAUUUUAAUAGAAAUGAAUUCAAGUUCUCUCCUGAAGGACUCAGUUCCUUGGGCCCAAACUUCUCCAGUCUCUCAUGAAAGGAGAUGAACUGCCUCAGAUAAAGUGCUAAUCUUCAGCCUCGAAGUCCUCGGAAGGGCCUUCUCCACACUGCUGGGCUGUGAAAGGCCGAAGGAGGUGGAGCUGGGGAGGAAGAUGAAGAUCCAGAGGUCUGAGAGAGCCUCAACUGAGUAGAGAGCAGCCUGGGUUCCAAAGUCCUGGCCGCAGCUCUGUGUAGCCAUGUGACUUUAGUUCAGGCCCUUGACUUCUCUAAGCUUCUGUGUGCACAGCUAUCAAAUGGGAGUAAUAACAGUAUUGACCUCGUGGGUGGUUAUGAGGCUUUACUGAGAUGGUACAAUGUCAAGGGCUUAGCACAUUGCCUGGCACGUAACACUCAGUAAAUGCCACCCUGACUAUGUUUAAUUUGGGAAGCUAGACCCUUACCUACCCAAGGGCUGUGAUGGUAGCAAGCCCACCUGCAGCCAUCCUCAGAGGGUAGGUGGAGAGUGAAGCCAAGCCUCAGAGCCACGGACUCCAGAAUGAAGGUAUGGACUCCGUGCCUGGACCUGUUACUUGAUUAGGGUUUCUGACCCCAGCUUCUUCCCCAUUUGCCCUGUCACACCAUCCCAUAAAUGUCCUGUUGCCCCCCUCUUGACCCUUCCUCCCACCCCCAUUCCAUUUAUCAUAGUCCACUUGUGGUGUCAGGGCAGACACACCCAAGGCACUGAACUCAUCUUGCCACUGUUGGUCACCCUCUGUGCCUUACAACAAUGUGGCACUUGGGGAUUCUAAACCACCACACUCACCAUUUCUCUCAAUCCCCAUGACCAUCUCCAUGCCUCCAAGACUCUCUGUGUCAGCCCAGAGGGGAAGCUGCCCGCAAGGUCUCUGUCUCCUUAGUGCAGAGCCGGGUCUACACCAGGUGCAGAACUCCCUGGUCAGCACAGCAGUGGGCCUGCCACCCAGACACACAGAGGCAGCUCAGCAACAGUCAGAGGCCCUCCGACGACAUUGGGAACAGAAGUGGCUGUAUGAGCUUCUAAAAAGCCCCAUCUGGAAGCUGGAGAAGCUGGGCCCAUUCCCUAACUCAGAGGAGGCCACAGUCCCUGGGGCAGGAACUAGCCCCUCCUAUUCUUUCCCUGCCCUCCAGAGUGGGGUUGCCUGGGACCAGGUCCUCAGAAACUGUGAUGGGAGGAGGGCGCCUUUACAACAGCAGGUGGAGCACCUGUGAGUCCCAAGUUCCCUUCCCCAAAGACCAAGAAAGAGUUUGGAGAACACUGGAGCCAGCCUUGCCUUCUCCUCUCCUGAAGGAAUGGAUGCAUGAAUGAA
rnacentral:lncRNA from 1 species